UGGGGAAUUUUGGACAAUGGGCGAAAGCCUGAUCCAGCAAUGCCGCGUGUGUGAAGAAGGCCUUCGGGUUGUAAAGCACUUUUGUCCGGAAAGAAAUCCUUGGCUCUAAUACAGUCGGGGGAUGACGGUACCGGAAGAAUAAGCACCGGCUAACUACGUGCCAGCAGCCGCGGUAAUACGUAGGGUGCAAGCGUUAAUCGGAAUUACUGGGCGUAAAGCGUGCGCAGGCGGUUUGCUAAGACCGAUGUGAAAUCCCCGGGCUCAACCUGGGAACUGCAUUGGUGACUGGCAGGCUAGAGUAUGGCAGAGGGGGGUAGAAUUCCACGUGUAGCAGCGAAAUGCGUAGAGAUGUGGAGGAAUACCGAUGGCGAAGGCAGCCCCCUGGGCCAAUACUGACGCUCAUGCACGAAAGCGUGGGGAGCAAACAGGAUUAGAUACCCUGGUAGUCCACGCCCUAAACGAUGUCAACUAGUUGUUGGGGAUUCAUCUCCUUAGUAACGUAGCUAACGCGUGAAGUUGACCGCCUGGGGAGUACGGUCGCAA
rnacentral:rRNA from 1 species